rnacentral:misc_RNA from 1 species
AUUAGAGCCGUGGAAGACCACCACGUUGAUAGGUCAGGUGUGGAAGCACAGUAAUGUGUGUAGCUAACUGAUACUAAUAGCUCGAUUGAUUUACUUUGCUGUGAGAUUACAUAUGCAUAUAGUGUUAAUUCUAUAAAAAUGUAGUAUCAACUCACAAAGUUAUCAGGUUAAAUUAGCUUUACCAAUGAAUAAAAAUGUUGUUGCACAGCUAAUAAUGUUAUACCGUGGUCCCGCCACGGUAUCUAGAAAAAUUUUUAAUAUUUAGAUUCUUGCUUCCGCAGGAAUGAUAAAUUUAGUCAUGCAACAACAUUAACAGCAAACUAUAAUACAAAUCUAUCUUUUUAAAAGUUUGUAUUGCUAGCUUGGUGGUUAUAGCAUGAGUGAAACACACGAUCCCAUCCCGAA